AAGGGUGAACUUUACUCUGAAGCUUGUCGAGCGUCGCGCCGCUGACGUCACGACCGGCGUCUCCGCCAUCUUAGUUGUGGCUAAAGAGGUGGCGAUUUCGGAAGUGCGGCUUGUGUGCUGCUGUGUAGAUGCUGAGACUAUGUGGGCUUGGCGUGGUGCUGAGCCUGGUCGCGGCGGCGGCGGCGGUCAUGGCCAUGUGGUUGGUGGACUGGUGGGGUCCCUGCCCUGGCCUUCGCCUCUUCGUACCCGAGGAGCUAGCCCGCUAUCGCGGCGGCCCGGGGGACCCGGGUCUGUACUUGGCGUUGCUCGGCCGCGUCUACGACGUGUCCUCUGGCCGGAGGCACUACGAGCCUGGGGCGCACUAUAGCGGCUUCGCAGGCCGGGAUGCAUCUAGAGCGUUUGUGACAGGAGACUUUUCUGAAGCUGGACUUGUGGAUGAUGUAACUGGCUUGUCCUCCUCUGAGAUACUGAUACUUCAAAAUUGGAUUUCAUUCUACGAGAAAAAUUAUGUAUUUGUCGGGAGACUGGUUGGAAGGUUCUACGGAGAGGAUGGGCUGCCCACUCCAGAACUAACCCAGGUGGAGGCCCUGGUGGCCAAAGGCGCGGAGGCGAGUGAACAGCAACAGAGAGAAAAGCACAGGUUCCCUCCGUGCAAUGCCGAGUGGAGUUCUGCUAAGGGGAGCCGGGUCUGGUGCUCCCAGAAGAGAGGGAUCCAGCACCCACUUGGUGGCUCACGACCAUCCAUAACUCCAGUUCCAGGGGAUCUGAUGCCCUCUUUGGACUUCUGCAGGCACCAGGAACACAUAUGUGGAGGUGUGAACAGAGACUGGACUGGUGUCCCCAGGAAGCUGUAUAAGCCAGGGGCCAAGGAGCCCCACUGUGUGUGUGUGAGAACAACUGGCCCCUCUAGUGACCAACAAGACAACUCUAGACACCUAAAUCGUGGGGACUUGGACAACCCCAACUUGGAAGAAUACCCAGGCUGCUCACCUCUGGCCAUCGAGUGUACCUUCCCACCCUAAGAUGGUGUCCUGUAUGUUGAUGACACAUGGAGAACCUUCCCUAGAUCUCCAGAAAGCCCUUAAUAUUUAUGCUCUAGGAGGCUCCUGGCAGGAAAACAGGAGGGUCAAGGACUCCACCCUCACUCUGCAAAUGUGUGUCACAAUUCUGUUGACUGAGACAGGAGCAUGAUAACCUACCUGGUAUGGUCAGUUUGUUUUGACACUGUUUGGAACCUUGGUCCCCUGUCAUCUUCCUUCGGAGCCUGCAGUCAUUCAUGAACACAGUGUGAUCAACGUAGAACUGCCUGGAGAAAGUCUGUGAGCUCCAGCAAGGGACUUCCCACGGACUCAUUGCUGCCAUAAUCAGAGCUUGAGCUCUGCCAUCAUGCCAGUCCUGCUGAGACUUGGAGCAGUAGCAGAACAAGAAUGUGGCUCUCAGCAGAGAAGCAGGCAUUUCCAAAGAAGCCUCAAAUCUUGCAGAAUCAAGGUGGAGGUGAGGAGGAAAACAGGAUCUCACUGGUAGCCCUGAUUGGCCUCAAAUUUCUGGCGAUCUUCCUGUCUGAUUCCUGACUGCUGGGAUUAUAAGCAUGAGCCACCACACCUGGCUCCUCAGAUUACAUUUAAGACAUUCAAGAGGAUAAGACUCAGUUAUAAACUAAUUGGCUGGCCAGAAUUAACUGCUUUUCAAAGGGAGCAAAAUUUUAAAGGUAAAUUAAUUUUCUUAAAACGUCCACAUUCCCCAGACAACAAAAACAGACUCCACUGCAGAGACUGCAUUGUGAGAACUACAGAAACAGCUGUAUAAGACUCACAAAGGGAAACAGCAGCCUCUGAAAUCAGCUGCCCAAACCACUACUUUCCACAGCUCACAACAAUGGACAUCUGCU